UACGUAGGGGGCGAGCGUUAUCCGGAAUUACUGGGCGUAAAGAGUGCGUAGGUGGCCAAGUAAGCGAGGGGUCUAAGGCUAUGGCCUAACCAUAGUUCGCCCCCCGAACUGCCUGGCUUGAGUACAGGAGGGGAAAGCGGAAUUCCUAGUGUAGCGGUGAAAUGCGUAGAUAUUAGGAGGAACACCAGUGGCGAAGGCGGCUUUCUGGACUGAAACUGACACUGAGGCACGAAAGCGUGGGUAGC
rnacentral:rRNA from 1 species